rnacentral:rRNA from 1 species
UACGGAGAGUGCAAGCAUUAAUCGGAAUUAUUGGGCGUAAAGGGCGCGUAGGCUGAAUGAUAAGUCAGAUGUGAAAUUCCGAAGCUCAACUUCGGAGCUGCAUUUGAAACUAUCGUUCUAGAGGGUUGACGGAGAAAACGGAAUUCCACGUGUAGCGGUGAAAUGCGUAGAUAUGUGGAAGAACACCUGUGGCGAAAGCGGUUUUCUAGUUGAUACCUGACGCUGAGGCGCGAGAGCAAGGGGAGCAAACAGG